rnacentral:lncRNA from 1 species
GUGCUGGUCGAGCUGCACUCUGGAUCUCUACAGCGCCGGCAUGCAGAACCUCUGGUAGAACUCAGGAUGUUUAACUGGGUGGUGAAGGUGGUCCCUCAGCCCGCCGCGGCGCCGGAGGAGGCGGCGAAGACCUCUGCUGCGCACGAAGCUCCGAAGAGCAAAGAAGUGAAGAAUUCGGUUCUGAAGACGACGGAGGAGGUCUCAGAGGACGGCCAGCUGCAGGCCGGAGUGAUGGGCUGGCUCUCCAACGGGUUCUCCAGCGCCCUGCCGCAGCCCCCCGGAACCGGCCGGCUCAGCCGGGCCAACUCCGACGCCAGGCAGCCAGGAGAAGAUGGAGAAAGGUCUGGGGUCAUCGGCUGGGUCGCUCAGGGUCUGACGAAAGUUCUGCCUCAACCAGAUGCAAAAUAUAAAGAAGAGGAGGAACCCAGAACCAAUGAGGAACACACGGAGGUCUAUGAGGUGGCGACCAUGCCAGAUUACGACCCCCUUCCCCACAUUCCGGUGGUGGAGCUGGUAUCGGAGGAUGAAGCGUCUGAAGUGGAGAGUCUGACUCCUCACUUUCCACCCAAGGUGGUCAACUGGAUCAAGCAGAUCAUCCCUCAGCCCGUGAUCCUGCCCCCCGGCGCCGUCCCGUCCGAACCGCCGCCCAAAGCCUCCCGCUCUUCUCUAGACAAACUUGUGUCUCCUCCACCUGAAUCUCUCAGUGCAAUCUCUCUGGACACGGACAACAAGCCCUCAGGGGUGGUGGACUGGUUUGUGUCCGGACUGGGUCUGAAGAUGCCUCAGCUCGUUCUUCCACCUAAAGAUGAAGCAGAGGCUUCAGCUGAAGUCCUGAAAAAAGGGGGGAAGUCGCUGCGAGCCCCUUAAACAGCAGGAGAAGAUGACCUGGGGGGGGGGUUAUCAUUAUUCCACGUGUAGAAACGUUUGAAACGCUUUAGGCAGCUGGAACGAAAACCCUAAACUUGAUCUGAACUCUGUACUGGCUUUGAAUGUAACCUGACGUCUCCUCAGAUCAAACUUUCCUUUUUUUUUAACUUUUGGGAAGCCAAACUGUGAUUUUAUUCCAUUUAAUGUAUCUUGAUUUUUGCACAUUUAUGCAUCACAAAGAAGCUGCUUGAAAGACAGAAUAUACAAUUAUAUUUAAAGUUGAAGUUCAUGGAAAAAAAAAAAAAAUCACAAUUUGAAACAAAUCUCUUUUUUUAAAUGUGUUAAAAUGGCAGCUAUGUUAUAUUUAAUAUGUUAAAUAUGUGUGUGUCCUGAAUUAAAUAUUCUGGAGAAUAAAUUCUUCUUGUUUUGUAAUAUUUUUAGACAUUUGGAUCCAGAUCCCGUCUAAACACGAGAGCCUUUGGUGUGAUUUGAUAUUUAAGGUUUCUUUAGGUUUUUAUUUGGUCGAACACGAGAGAUCCAGGAAGUUAAACGUGGAUCCGUCUGAACUGUGAAGCGCGGCCUGUAGACGUCCCGAGGUUCCAUGUGAACGCUAAAUGAGUCCUGUGUGUAGAGAUGAUGGUAAACAUUAAGAAAAUAAAGAUUCAGUGA